GAGAAUCCCGUCCACCGAUUGACUAAGGUUUCCAGAGGAAGGCUCGUCCGCUCUGGGUUAGUCGGGUCCUAAGCUGAGGCCGACAGGCGUAGGCGAUGGAUAACAGGUUGAUAUUCCUGUACCACCUAUAAUCGUUUUAAUCGAUGAGGGGACGCAGUAGGAUAGGCGAAGCGUACGAUUGGAUUGUACGUCUAAGCAGUGAGAUUGAGUGUUAGGCAAAUCCGGCACUCUUAAGAUUGAGCUGUGAUGGGGAGAGGAAAUUGUUUCCUCGAGUCGUUGAUUUCACACUGCCG
rnacentral:rRNA from 1 species